rnacentral:rRNA from 1 species
CACGUAGGGCGCAAGCGUUGUCCGGAAUUAUUGGGCGUAAAGAGCUCGUAGGCGGUCUGUUGCGUCCGCUGUGAAAACUCGGGGCUUAACCCCGAGCCUGCAGUGGAUACGGGCAGACUAGAGGUAGGUAGGGGAGAAUGGAAUUCCCGGUGUAGCGGUGAAAUGCGCAGAUAUCGGGAGGAACACCGGUGGCGAAGGCGGCAUCCUGGACCGGCAUUGACGCUGAGGCGCGAAAGCCAGGGGAGCAAACGGG